GCAGUCGAGCGGGGUCAGGGUGCUUGCACUUUGACUUAGCGGCGGACGGGUGAGUAAUGCCUAGGAAUCUGCCUGGUAGUGGGGGACAACGUUUCGAAAGGAACGCUAAUACCGCAUACGUCCUACGGGAGAAAGCAGGGGACCUUCGGGCCUUGCGCUAUCAGAUGAGCCUAGGUCGGAUUAGCUAGUUGGUGAGGUAAUGGCUCACCAAGGCUACGAUCCGUAACUGGUCUGAGAGGAUGAUCAGUCACACUGGAACUGAGACACGGUCCAGACUCCUACGGGAGGCAGCAGUGGGGAAUAUUGGACAAUGGGCGAAAGCCUGAUCCAGCCAUGCCGCGUGUGUGAAGAAGGUCUUAGGAUCGUAAAGCACUUUAAGUUGGGAGGAAGGGCAGUAAAUUAAUACUUUGCUGUUUUGACGUUACCGACAGAAUAAGCACCGGCUAACUCUGUGCCAGCAGCCGCGGUAAUACAGAGGGUGCAAGCGUUAAUCGGAAUUACUGGGCGUAAAGCGCGCGUAGGUGGUUCGUUAAGUUGGAUGUGAAAUCCCCGGGCUCAACCUGGGAACUGCAUUCAAAACUGUCGAGCUAGAGUAUGGUA
rnacentral:rRNA from 1 species